CAUAAGCACCUAGUAAAAUCUCAGUGGUCAUUAAACAUGUAAAUGUUGCUAAAUUUAAUAAUCAGGGAAAUAGAAAUUGAGUCCUAUGAAAUAUAUAUCCACAAGAAUGGCUACGAUGAUAAAAAAUAGUAAUCUAUUGAGUGUUGGCAAGGCAAAGUGUCAACAAGAACUCUCUGCAUCACUGGCUAGAGUGUAUAUUGGUGGAUCCACAUUGGAAAACAAUUUGGCAUUAUCUAGUAAAGUUCAAGAUGUAUGUACCCACUACCCAUCAAUUCCAAUUCCACCCUUGAGAAAGGCUUUUCUAGAGAAACCCUUCUACAAAAAUCAGAACAAGAAUAUUCACUGUAAUACAUCUGUAAUAGCAAAAAUGUAUAAAAUAUCCAAAUGUAACUUAACAGAAGAAUAAAUCCUGGUCAUUAUAAAGAAAUUACACAGUAGUGAAAUUCAUGAACUAAAAUUAAACACACAAACAUGAAUGAAUUUCACAAAUUUGAAUGAAAAAUUACACUGCAGAAGAAAAGUACAGUAUUGUCUCAUUUGUGUAAAGUUUGAAAGCAUGUAAAACUAAACACUAUUUUGUUUGCUUUUGUGCCUGUGUAUUAAAAUAUAAAAGAGAAUCAAAUAAUUACAAAAACAAACACCUCAAUAGAGUUAGAGAACAGAGGCAUGGAAUCUGGGAAGAGAAAUAAGAGCUUUCAAAUGUUCUGGUAAUAUUUUAUUUCCUGUGCCAAGUUGUUUUUUUAAGUGAUCAUUCUUUGGUAUGUUAUCAAGUUAUCAUCUAUAUAUUCAAAGUCAGUUUUGUAAUGUGGAGAAAACAACCUCACUGAACAAUUAAACAAGUAAGGAGAAAUCUAUGGAAAGAUAUACAUUAAGCUGUUAACAUUUCUUACCUGAAAUGAGGAUGAGAUGGAGGAAGAAAAAAGCAAAAAAAAAAAAUCAACAAAAAAUACACUAUUUAAAAUAAAUAGUUACAGAGAGAAAAAGCAAAAAAGGGAGGUUAUCUAAAAGAAACAUUAGUAAAUGAACAAGUUAAAAUACACCAGAAAGAGCUAGAAGGUGAAGUAUUUUUCAAAGCAGUGCCUAGUUUCAGAAUCAUAAAGAUAGUAAUUACAACAGAGGUAUGUAUUAUACAAAAAGAUAAUUAGAUAAUUAAUAGCCAGAAGGAAUGUCCAGUCUUGAGUUAGAAACUGAUGCUCAAAUUAAUGGCAAAGGACAUUUUUAAAACAGCUGUGAAACUUUGCAUAAAAACUAAAUAGUAGAUAAGACGAAAAUGCAUUGAUGAGAAAGGAUGGAUGAUCAUUAACUGAAAAAAGCUUAUCAAACAGAAUUUCAAGAAUACUGUUUAUAAAAAAUAAUGUGUCUAUAUAUCUGCACAUUUAUAUAUGGAGAGAGAGAGGGAUCUAGAAAGACCCUCACUAAGGUGUUAAGUGAUAAUUGCUUUCUGGCAGUGGUAUCAUAUUUUUAUUUUGUUAUUUUAUUUUCUAACUUUCUAAAAUAUCAGUGCAUUGCUUAUAUUAGCAAAAACAGACAUAAAGUAUUUUUAAAUGAAUACAAAAUAACUUAGUUAUAUUUACUGAGUUAGGAUAAAAGCUUUUUUCCCCGAUACCGUAAAGUGUUUUUGCUCAGAAACAUGAAGCAAUAACAUGAUAAUUAUAAGUCUGCGGAGGGAUCACAUCAAGAAGGUGCAGAGAGGGCAUAAAAAAGCCUCAUCCCUUUGCAAUGUCAGUGUGACCAUGGGCACCAGGCUCCUCGGCUGUGCAGCCCUGUGUCUCCUGGCAGCAGGCUGUUUUCAUGCCGAAGUCACACAGACUCCAGGAUAUUUGGUCAAAGGAAAAGGACAGAAAACAAAGAUGGAUUGUACCCCCGAAAAAGGACAUACUUAUGUUUAUUGGUACCAACAGAAUCAGAAUAAAGAGUUUACAUUUUUGAUUUCCUUUCAGAGUGAACAAGUUCUUCAAGAAACGGAGCUGCACAAGAAGCGGUUCUCAUCUCAAUGCCCCAAGAACCCACCUUGCAGCCUGGAAAUCCCGUCCUCGGAACCAGGAGACACGGCACUGUAUCUCUGUGCCAGCAGCCAAUCCACAGCACUGAAAUGUCAGUUCCUCUUAGCACACAAACUUGUCACAGGCCCAGCUCAGGAAGCAGGUGAUGUAUUAGGUUGGAAGGGAGUAAUAGAAAGUAACUGUAGCCAGUUUAAGCCACAGUGGAAUUUAACACAAGGAUAAAGGGAGUUUAGCAAAAGUCAAGAGGCGAUGGACAGACAGUUCUGAAAAGGCACACUAGGGCUGGGCUCUAGAAUGACUCUCUCUCCAGCUCUGAUUUUUCUUCAAUUUUGGCUGCGGCAUGCUUUUAUCUCCCGUACACCGUCUCUUUCUCUCCAGGCCUCAUGGUGAGAGUGAGAUGGUCACUAAAGAUUACAAAUUCAAUUGCCAUCAUUUCCCUACGCUGAUAAACACCAGCCCAGCUCUUUCUAAGCCUGAGUUCAAAAUCCCAGGAGAAAAAACCAGAUCGGUCAUGAUCCAGCCAUGAACCUUCUCAUAGAGCACUCAGCAGUAGGCAUGUAUGUAUGUAUUUAAAAUCACAUAAAUGUUACUUGUCCACUCGGCUCAAGCAAGGGAACUGCUCUGUUUUUCUAUAUGUACAUUCGGUCUAUUGCUUCUAUAUGAUAGAGAAUACUCAUAUCCAUUUCUUCAGAAACACGUACCCAGAUUUUCUCCAGUUUCCUGCCAGAAUUGAAAAUUCUUGUACAAAUACCUUCAUAGACUUGUAUGAUUGCUUUGAGGAUUAUAUGCCCAGAGCAAGUCAUGAUUGCUGAGACAUGGAAUUCUAUGCAUAUUUUAUCUAUUUAAAUACCACCAUGGGUUCUUCAGGAUCACUGUAUACAUCUGCAAUCCCACAUAAAAGUAAAUGGGGUGUUUUCCUACAUCCUAAUAUCUCCUAUAAUCCUUAUCCAGUAAUCUAGAUUG